rnacentral:rRNA from 1 species
GUGUCAGCAGCCGCGGUAAGACGGAGGGUGCUAGCGUUGUUCGGAAUUACUGGGCGUAAAGGGCGCGUAGGCGGCCGCUCAAGUCGGGUGUGAAAGCCCGGGGCUCAACCCCGGAACUGCACUCGAGACUGUGUGGCUGGAGAUCGGAAGAGGAGAGUGGAACACCCAGUGUAGAGGUGAAAUUCGUAGAUAUUGGGUAGAACACCGGUGGCGAAAGCGGCUCUCUGGUCCGAUUCUGACGCUGAGGCGCGAAAGCGUGGGGAGCAAACAGGAUUAGAUACCCGCGUAGUCC